UUUCCGUAGGUGAACCUGCGGAAGGAUCAUUAAUGAGUUGUCAUGGGGUUCGAUGCUGGCAGCCAGUUUUUGGAUGCAUGUGCUUGCCCUAACAAUCAUCUUCUUCCAGACACCUGUGCACAUUUUUGAGGGAGUCUUGAGUUGGUUGCCGCUCUUGGGUGAUUUUCUCACAUUCCCUUAAAUCAUUAUACGCUAUUAACAAUGUUGAACGUGCUCUGUGCCGCAAGGCCAUUAAUAUAAUACAACUUUUAACAACGGAUCUCUUGGCUCUC
rnacentral:misc_RNA from 1 species